GGGUACUGAAUACGUGAGCCUCCUGAAAAAUCAGAAACCAAAGUAGCUUACAAGAGGUUUUCAAGCUUUGUAAUUUUUGGCAUACAUUUGUCUUGCAUAGUAUACCAGGUACACAGGCAAUCAU